GGGGAUUCAAAAACUGAAUUCAAAGGAAAAAGAAAUGAUGUGAAAUUUUUCAGUUUUUAAAUAUAUAUUUUAAAUGGAUUAUGGGCAUAAAUUGUCACAGUAUUUAGAUUAUGUUACAUACAUUAAAAGUGACAUAAUAGUUUUGUUUUAAAACAUCAAAUUUUACAGUACAUGAGUGAAUCAGUUGCUAUGUAACAAACCACCCUAAAGUUUAGUGGCUUCAUACAACAAAUAUUUCUGAUGUUCAUGAUUCUGUGGGUCAGCGGGCAGUUCUGGUCUUGAUUGGGUUGGUCGAACUCUGAGGUCAGCUGGUGGCUCAGCUCAGCUGGGACUGGAUGGUCUCACAUCCUAUGGCCUCAUUCAUGUCUGUCAGUUGGAAGCUUGCUGGGUCUAGGUAUCCUCAGAUGAGAUAGCUUCUUUCUGUUCUAUGUGGCCUCUCUUCCACCAGUGGCUAGCAUAGGCUUCUUUACAUAGUAUCUUAUUCAGCUAGGGCUGCUGUAACAAACAUCAUAGACUGGGUGGCUUAAACAACAGACAUUCAUUUCUCACAGUUACGGAGUCUGGAAAUACAACAUCAAGUUCCCAGCAGAUUGAAUUCCUGAUGACAGCCCGUGCCCUGGCUUGUAGACAGCUACCUUCUCUCUGUGUCCUCACAUGGCCUUUCCUCCAAGCAUGUGUGGAGAGAGAUCUAUCUCUCUUCUAUUAAGGGCACUAAUCCCCUCAUAAGUGUCCCACCCUCAUGAACUAAUCUAAACCCUAUCUCCUCUCAAAGGGCCCACCUCCUAAUACCAUCACAUUGGUUGUUAGGACUUCAACAUACAAAUUCUGGGGGGAACACAAACAUUCAAUCUGUAACACGUGGUGGCCUCAGGGUUCCGAAGAGCAUGGGGACCAAGCCCCAAUGCACAUGCCAUUUUCAAGUCUCUCCCUAACUCAAGUUUGCUUAUGUCCCAUUGGCUAAAGCAAGUCAUGUCACCAAACCCAGAGGCAGGUUGGGAAAGAACUGCCUAAAGGCAUGGAUCCAGGGAGGUGUGACUCAUUAGGGACCAUUACUGCAACAAUCUACCACAGCCAGAAAUGACAUCCUUUGAAAUGAUUUAAAUUAAUAAUGGAAAACAUUUAGAUGUUAAUGAGAGAGGGUACAUAGUUUUUAAAAAGUAUUUAGGGGAGAUUUUGAGAAAAAAUUGAAAACUAUUGCCUGAGAAAUUGGGAUUAUUUUAGAGGGCAGUCCAUGCUUUCUCACUUUCCACUCUCCAUUGGGCAUCAGGGAAGCUGAAUGGAUGGAAAGUGAUGGGCUUUGGCACGGGAUGCCUGUGUGCUGAACCCUGACAUUUUGUCUACCAGCUGUGUGAUCCUGGGCAAGGCACCAAACCCUUCUGAGUCUGUUUCCUCUCCUCAGAUGUGGGUUAACAAUACCUACUUUAUCAUGUGACUCAAUUAAUGGUCACUUUCUACUUCCUCCCACCCCGUACCCAGGACCUCAGUCAACCUCAUGGACAUCUCAAUUUAUCAAUGAGAUAAUAACCUGGUACCAAGUUUGCUUUGGAACCUUCAAGUGAAAGAUGGUCUUUGUUGGGAAACAUCUGGAAAAUAUUCUUUUUUUUUUUUUGCAGUACGCGGGCCUCUCACUGCUAUGGCCUCUCCUGCUGUGGAGCACAGGUUCUGGACACACAGGCUCAGCGGCUAUGGCUCACAGGCCCAGCCGCUCUGCGGCAUGUGGGAUCCUCCCGGACUGGGGCACGAACCCACGUCCCCUGCAUCGGCAGGUGGAUUCCCAACCACUGCGCCACCAGGGAAGCCCUGGAAAAUAUUCUUAUUAGGGAUUUGUAUUCACUUGUAAAGUUAUUCAUCACCCCAUUAAAUAUGCAAAAGUAAAUCUAGACUGAACAGUGAUAUAAAUGAUUAGAAUAAGAAAGGUUUUAUAUAGAACUUAAAAGAAAUGGAAAAACGGCCUUGCAAGUGCAUUUAACUUAUGUACAUGAUUUUUGAAACAAACUUGGAAGCUUUGAUCAAAAUAGCAAUUAGUGGAUGUGUCCUAUGUCACUUACCAUAGUACUCAGUAAUUCAUAGGUGGAUGGCUGAGUCUGAUGCACCCCGAUUUUAACAUCAGAAAAGAAUGAAAACCCAUUGCACAAUCUGUCUUAGCUAGGAUAGGAAAAAUUUACUAAAAUCUUUUUUUCUGCUUGAUUUUUAUGUUACUCAGAUGACUCUAAAUAUGUAAAGAAAUCUAAAACACAAAUAUGCAUAGAAUUCCACAAACUAUUUUUCAUUUUUUUCCCCUUCUUUUUCUUACUAAAUCUUAUCCAGGGCACGUGCAAUUUCUCUCAGUUAAAAUCACAUCAUUGACUCAAUUUUUAUAAGGAACACAUUUGGUAAUCCUACCAUAGUUUUACUGAUACUUCCUUUCCCCAUCAUUUUUUUUUCAAAAUCUUCAAUCAGUUGAUGGUUCUUGAAUUAUUUUUUAGUUGAUGUAUUUUUUUAAAUUACAAUUGACUCAUUUUCUUCUCAUUUUUCUUAAUAACCUGAAGAAGUUGGUUUGGUUUUUAUUUAUGGAGAGCUGUGUUCUGAAGACCUACACCCUCCAGCAAUAUCUCUAAUCCUGGGAGUGGACCACAUGGCUGCCACUACUGUGUGGUGGGGCUGAAGAGGGGGAGCACUCUGCCCUGGAUCUUGUUUUCAUAAGUAAAUAAAUGGUAAUGACUUUCUUCAAGGAAAUGUUCCUACUAUACCUUAGUGGACAUUAUGUGUAAGAAAUCUUGACAUUAUAAAAAUAAAAUUCCCUUAGGGAGGUAGAAAGGAAGCUGGUGUGUCAGACUGGAAAAGGCCAGGUCCUUUGUUAGGCUUCAGAAUGACAAACAGUUCUGCUUUAUUAACUGAGAACUAGAUAAGAGACACAGACUUACAGGGCGUUUCUGAGUGGGAGAGGGAUGUUUUUAAAAGUGAAUUUUAAAAUUGAGGUAGGGCUUCCCUGGUGGCACAGUGGUUAAGAAUCCACCUGACAAUGCGGGGGACACGGGUUCGAGCCCUGGUCCGGGAAGAUCCCACGUGCUGGGGAGCAACUAAGCCCGUGUGCUACAACUGAGCCUGUGCUCUAGAGCCCGAGAGCCACAACUACUAAAGCUCUCGAGCCUAGAGCCUGUGUUCCGCAACAAGAGAGGCCACUGCAAUGAGAAGCCCGCACAACCCAACGAAGACCCAAUGCAGCCAAAAGUAAAUAAAUAAAUAAUUAAAAAAAAAUUGGGGUAGAACAGAUAUACAAAGUGCACAACAUAAAUGAAUACCUUUGAUUUUUUUGUUUUUGUUUUUGUUUUUUUUUUUGUGGUAUGCGGGCCUCUCACUGUUGUGCCCUCUCCCGUUGCGGAGCACAGGCUCCGGACGUGCAGACCCAGCGGCCAUGGCUCACGGGCCCAGCCACUCCGCGGCAUGUGGGAUCUUCCCGGACCGGGACACGAACCCGUGUACCCUGCAUCGGCAGGCGGACUCUCAACCACUGCGCCACCAGGGAAGCCCUAACUUUGAUUUUUGUAUGUUUACCCCAUGUUACCACUACUCAGAGCAAGAUAUAGAACAUUUCCUGCACCCCAUAAAGUUCCCUGUAUCUCUUCCAGUCAAAACCCACCCCCUUCCUUGGGUCACCACUAUUACAACUUCCGUCAUUGCUGGGGACUAAAUGUUUGUGUCCCCCUGCCCCCCAGCCCCAAUCAUAUGUUGAAGUCCCAGUCCCCAUUGGGAUGGUAUUAGGAGGUGGGACCUCUGGAGAUGAUCAGGUCAUGAGGGCAGAGCGCUCAUGAAUGGGAUUAGUGCCCUUAUAAAUGACAUGGAAGAGAUCAUUUCCACCACAUGAAGACAUAGCAAGAAUGCAGCAUUCUGCAAACAGGGAAGGGAGCCUUCACCAGACACUGAAUCUGCUGGCACCUUGAUCUUGGGCUUAGCCUCCAGAACUGUGAGAAAUAAGUUUCUAUGGUUUAAGCCACCCAAUCUCUGGUUUUUUGUUAUAGAAACACUAACUACUAAGAUCAUCAUACUUGAUUAGUUCUGCUUGCUUUUGAACUUCACAUAAAUGGGAGCAGAUAGCGUGCACUCUCUUAUGGCUGGCUUGCUUCACUCAACUGAAAUUGGCUGCCCAAGUGAAGGGAUGACACCCACCAUCAAGGCUACAAAGUGACUCAUGGGACCAGACUCCACUGCUUGCCUCAGACAAAUAUGUGCCCAGGAGUGGGGUUGCUGGAUCACUUGUGAGCACCUGCUCUGUGUGUGAAGGCCCAGGCACUGUUCUGUGUGCUGGAGGAGUCAAGGAAGCACACAACCAAAUCCUUAACCUCAUGGAGGUGACACUGUAGUGGGAAGGGAUGGGUACGGUUGCUGAGCCGCAUGUGUGCCUGGCCAAUCCUAGCAACCUAAUGGAGAACUUGGGAGAGGGUUUCAAGCUCCAGAAAAAGGCUGGCACUUUCAGGGAUCAGUGCCAUGGGGACUUUGGAGAAAGGUGAGAGUGACCUCCCCAAGGUCAAGAGAGGUCAUCCUAAAGCCACACAGGGAACCGAUUUUGAAGAACCUUCUUCACCAUCCUUUCUUAGAUGGAGACUACACAUUAGGAACCCAGUUCUAAAGGACCUGGAGUUUCCAUCAAUCCUGGCAGGUGCAUAAAGUGUGGAGAGUUUGACCUGUUUAAAGUGCAGUCAACACCUGAAACUAACACAACAUUGUAAAUCAACUAUACUCUAAUAAAAAGUUUUUAAAAAUUGAUAUAAUGAACCAUGGUACACAAUUUGAAAAAAAAAUAAAUAUAUAAAGUGCAGUUAAGUUUAGCUCCCCAGAACAAGAACUAGAGGAAAUUCCCCAGGAUUGUUUCAGAUGGAGUCACAGACGGGCUAAGGGAAAGAUUAGGAUCUAUGAAAAUGUCAAAACAGAACCUUGACAGGGGUUUAAAAUAGAAGUUUCAUGAUUUUUUUUCCAUUUCCCAAUUUUUAAAAUUGAAGUAUAGUUAAUUUACAAUGUUGUGUUAGUUUCAGGUGUACAGCAAAGUGAUUCAGUCAUAUAUAUAUAUAUAUAUAUAUAUAUAUAUAUAUAUAUAUAUAUAUACACAUAUAUAUAUAUAUAUUCUUUUUCAGAUUCUUUUCCAUUAUAGGUUAUUUCAAGAUAUUGAGUAGAGUUCUCUGUGCUCCACAGUAGGUCCUUGUUGUUUACCUGUUUUAUAUAUAGUAGUGUGUAUAUGUUAAUCCCAUAAUCCUAAUUUAUCUCCCUGCCCAUCACCUUUGGUAACCAUAAAUUUGUCUUCUAUGUCUUUGAGUCUAUUUCUGCUUUGUAAAUAAGUUCAUUUGUAUCAUUUUUUAAAAUUCCACCUAUAGGUGAUACAUGAUUUUUAACUUGCCAUAUUUGUUAUUUUUAUUUCCUGUUUCUUCAAUGAAAUUUCAACUGAAAUUUAAAAAAAUGCUGGUUUAUUUUUUGGGGACAGCAAUAAAGUGGGGAAUCAUUCCAUCGAUACUGACUCCGCAUCCUCACUGCUAAUAUCUGGUAACUGAACUUGGGAUGUGGCAGCUCUGAAGAGGAGGGGCAUGUGGAGAAUCCCUGGCUCUUUCCGGAGGAGUGGCAGUGAGUGAUGCACAGACAGUGAAGGGACCAGGCAAGUGGAAGGCCCCACCCCCAUCCUCCCAGCUGCCUCCCGCUGCUGCUCCGUGUCUCUGGGCUUCUUGUGGUCCUGGAAGAGGCCAGCCCUUCCCCCAGAGAGGAAGCACAUGAUAGCUCAAUGUGCACGCCGGACAUCUUCUGGUGGCAACAGGAGAAGUGUAAUCAGGAAAUCUUACCCAUCUGUGGUACUCAACCCCAGGCAGCUUUGAAAAUAUACUGGGAGACUGGGAUUGACAUAUAUACACUAAUAUGUAUAAAAUGGAUAACUAAUAAGAACCUGCUGUAUAAAAAAAUAAAGUAAAAUUCAAAAAUUCAAAAAAAAUAGCAAAAAAAAAAAAAAAAAAAAAAGAAAAUAUACUAAUGCCAGGACUCACCUCAGACCAGGAGAAUCACAAUCUCUGGGUUGGGAUCAGUGCAUCAGUGUAUUUUUUUUAAAUGCUAGGCUAUGUAAAAUCCCUACUUGUAUUCAUUUUAUAUGAGUAGUAGAGAGUCCCAGAGCUUUUCUUCAGUCUUUGGAAAAGCUUAAUGAAAUGAUACAUCAACCUUCAAAAAGGAUCUGAGAUGAACUCAAAUAUUACAUUUCUUCACUUUGAACUGGACUCAUAGUAACUCAGUGCAAUCACCCUUGUACACUCAUGCUGAUAGGAAUGAUGGAUAUAUUUCCCUAUCUGUGACACUUAUAAAAUUAAAUGCAUGAUUAGUAGGUGCGAUUUGGUGGCCAAAAGGAAAUCCUUUAAAGUCUGAGGUGACCACAGUUAGGAAAAAUACACCAGGAGGGAGGGCAUUGGUGAUAGAAAAGUCUGGAGCCAUGCAGUUCGGUCAUUUAAACUCCAUAGCAAGGUGGGAUAGAUUAGUAAAUGAAGAAGCACAGAAUCUGACUUUUGGGAUUCUGUUUCUGUGUUUACUAUAAAAAAAAAAAAAGAAGGACGAACCACUUGUAGCCCCAGGGAGAACUUCCUAAAAGCCAAAGAACAGAGGAGACAUGCAGAAUUGGAAGACCCUCAAAGCCAGAUCAAAAAAUGUUGAACCCAGGUAGGUUACCUUUAGGCAAAGAGAAUUGAAAAGUAUCACUCACUGGACUCCUACUACCCCAAGAUUAAAUUUCACAUCCAGUUGCAAAAAUAAAAGAGUGAGCCCAGCAUUAACUAUCAUAUACCUAUUAUGGACUAAUUCUAGAGGUAAUAAUAUCUAACCUCUUUCUUUCUCUCCUUUUUUUCUUUCUUUCUCUCUCCCUCUCUCUUUCUUCCUCCUCCCUUUCUUUCCUUCUUCCUUCCUUCCUUCCUUCCUUCCUUCCUUCCUUCCUUUCUUUCUUUCCUCUGUCUCUCUGUCCCUCCUUCCCUCCCUCUCUCCCUCCCUCCUUCCCUCCCUCC